rnacentral:other from 1 species
UACAAGCUGCAUUGUUCGUACCAAUAAUAAAGUUUUAACCUUUAAGCUGUAACAGGGAGUUUUAAUCGAAACAAGAAUGACAAGCCUUUGUCCAUUGCGACCAAAGGACAUGCAGGAAGGUUUCUGCGAACACCCACUUUGAGGAGUGGUGGUUUAAAACUUUCUUAUAUUAAAAUACGGCAAUUGCGGCUCACUA